AUGCGCUGAGCAUGAGACGCGCGGGAAUCCGUGAGACAAGAUGCGAGACUUCCUCAUCUGAUUAUCGAGU
rnacentral:sRNA from 1 species